UACGUAGGGGGCAAGCGUUGUCCGGAUUUAUUGGGCGUAAAGAGCGUGUAGGCGGCCAAGCAGGUCCGCUGUGAAAACUCGAGGCUCAACCUCGAGAGGUCGGUGGAAACCGUUUGGCUAGAGUCCGGAAGAGGAGAGUGGAAUUCCCGGUGUAGCGGUGAAAUGCGCAGAUAUCGGGAGGAACACCGGUGGCGAAGGCGGAUCGUCUGGGCCAUUACUGACGCUGAGGAGCGAAAGCGUGGGGAGCGAACAGG
rnacentral:rRNA from 1 species